UAGGGAAUCUUCCGCAAUGGACGAAAGUCUGACGGAGCAACGCCGCGUGAGUGAAGAAGGAUUUCGGUUCGUAAAACUCUGUUGUUAGGGAAGAAAAAAUGUAUAGUAACUAUAUACAAAAGAGACGGUACCUAACCAGAAAGCCACGGCUAACUACGUGCCAGCAGCCGCGGUAAUACGUAGGUGGCAAGCGUUGUCCGGAAUUAUUGGGCGUAAAGCGCGCGCAGGUGGUUUAGAAAGUCUGAUGUGAAAGCCCACGGCUCAACCGUGGAGGGUCAUUGGAAACUAAUAAACUUGAGUGCAGGAGAGAAAAGUGGAAUUCCUAGUGUAGCGGUGAAAUGCGUAGAGAUUAGGAGGAACACCGGUGGCGAAAGCGGCUUUUUGGCCUGCAACUGACACUGAGGCGCGAAAGCAUGGGGAGCAAACAGG
rnacentral:rRNA from 1 species